UGCCUAAUAGCAUAAAAAGUUCAGGCAAUUUCAGAUUAGUUACAAACUGAAAUGUCUAGAUCGUCUAGCAACUUGGAUAGUGUGAAUUUGGGCUGAUGACACCGAAUGGGUAGACAUGUCAGGGGAAGAAAGCAGAGUCCUUCAUUUAAAAUUAUGUAGAUCUAAUUAUGGUUUAUCCAGAGAUAUAUAAAGAGUGAAGAUUCCAUAGUGCUUGGUUAUAAGUAGUGUUCUGUUGAGCUCAUGUUUUAUUGUCUUUUCUAGCUUUUUUCUGUCUCACGUCUAUUUUCAUGACAUAAAGAAAGCUAUGAUUAAGUGAACCACAUUGUGUAAGCCCAACUUGCCUAGUUGGUGAAAACAUUAUAAGGAUAGAGAUAUUCUGUUUGGGAGUGACUGUCAUCAACCAGUUAAGAGACAGUCCUGAGGUUGUAUUUGUAAGUAUGAUAGUAACUUGAGUUUUUAUCAGAUAACAAAUGCAGUGUUUUCCCUUCCAUGAUUUAUUUUCCUGAUAAUCUUAU
rnacentral:lncRNA from 1 species